UUGGGACGUCGGCAAGUGGUAAGCCAACGGUUUUUGGUACCGUCAUUCCGUAGGUUCGAAUCCUACCGUCCCAGUUUG
rnacentral:tRNA from 1 species